rnacentral:tRNA from 1 species
GCUCCCGUAGCUCAGCUGGAUAGAGCAAUUGCCUUCUAAGCAAUCGGCCGUGGGUUCGAAUCCCGCCGGGAGUA